GACGAACGCUGGCGGCGUGCUUAACACAUGCAAGUCGAACGGAAAGGCCCUGCUUUUGUUGGGUGCUCGAGUGGCGAACGGGUGAGUAACACGUGAGUAACCUGCCCUUGACUUUGGGAUAACUGGAGGAAACUGGGGCUAAUACCUGAUAUUAGCUCCUGCUGCAUGGGGGGGGUUGGAAAGUUUCGGAGGUUGGGGAUGGAAUCGCGGCUUAGCAGCUUGUUGGUGGGGUAGUGGCUUACCAAGGCGUUUACGGGUAGCCGGACUGAGAGGGUGACCGGCCACAUUGGGACAGACAUACGGCCCAGACUGCUACGGGAGGCAGCACUGAGGAAUAUUGCACCAUGGGCGGAAGCCUGACGCAGCAACGCCGCGCGCGGGAUGACGGACUUCGGGUUGUAAACCGCUUUCGCCUGUGACGAAGAGUGAGUGACGGUAAUGGGUAAAGAAGCACCGGCUAAAUACGUG
rnacentral:rRNA from 1 species